rnacentral:rRNA from 1 species
UACAGAGGUCUCAAGCGUUGUUCGGAUUCAUUGGGCGUAAAGGGUGCGUAGGUGGCGCUGUAAGUCGGGUGUGAAAUUUCGGAGCUUAACUCCGAAACUGCAUUCGAUACUGCGGUGCUUGAGGACUGGAGAGGAGACUGGAAUUCAUGGUGUAGCAGUGAAAUGCGUAGAGAUCAUGAGGAAGACCAGUGGCGAAGGCGAGUCUCUGGACAUUUCCUGACGCUGAGGCACGAAAGCCAGGGGAGCAAACGGG